rfam:Schistosoma curassoni strain Dakar, Senegal genome assembly, scaffold: SCTD_scaffold0004586
AUCUAACUGAAGAAUUUCAAAUAGAAUGAAACACUCGUCAAACUAGAU